rnacentral:rRNA from 1 species
GUACCGCGGCUGCUGGCACGGAGUUAGCCGAUGCUUAUUCCUGCACUACCGUCAAAUCACUACACGUAGUAACCAUUCUUGGUGCAGAAAAGAAGUUUACAACCCAUAGGGCAGUCUUCCUUCACGCGGGAUGGCUGGUUCAGGCUUGCGCCCAUUGACCAAUAUUCCUCACUGCUGCCUCCCGUAGGAGUCUGGUCCGUGUCUCAGUACCAGUGUGGGGGAGUGCAUCACUUCCAUCAGUACACCACCAUAAGACAUUCGCCAAG